rnacentral:rRNA from 1 species
UAUUGGUCAAUGGCCGGGAGGCUGAACCAGCCAAGUCGCGUGAGGGAAGACGGCCCUACGGGUUGUAAACCUCUUUUGUCAGGGAGCAAGAGGCGGGUCGGGACCUGCUGUGAGAGUACCUGAAGAAAAAGCAUCGGCUAACUCCGUGCCAGCAGCCGCGGUAAUACGGAGGAUGCGAGCGUUAUCCGGAUUUAUUGGGUUUAAAGGGUGCGCAGGCGGCCUGUUAAGUCAGCGGUCAAAGCCCGGGGCUCACCCCCGGCCCGCCGUUGAAACUGGCAGUCUCGAGUUGGAGAGAAGUAUGCGGAAUGCGCGGUGUAGCGGUGAAAUGCAUAGAUAUCGCGCAGAACUCCGAUUGCGAAGGCAGCAUGCCGGCUCCACACUGACGCUGAGGCACGAAAGCGUGGGUAUCG